rnacentral:misc_RNA from 1 species
GAAAUGCGAUAAGGAGUGUGAAUUGCAGAAUUCAGUGAAUCAUCGAAUCUUUGAACUCACAUUGCGCCCCUUGGUAUUCCAUUGGACAUGCCUGUUCGAGCGUCAUUUGUACCCUCAAGCUUUGCUUGGUGUUGGGUGUUUGUCCUCUCUGGAGGACUCGCCUCAAAACAAUUGGCAGCCGGCAUAUUGGUAUCGGAGCGCAGCACAAGUCUCGCUUCUUUCCACGAAUGUCAGCAUCCAUCAAGACUAUUUUCACUCUUGACCGCGGAUCAGGUAGGGAUACCCGCUGAACUUGA